rnacentral:rRNA from 1 species
UACGUGCGGGGCGAACGUUGUUCGGUGUCACUGGGCUUAAAGGGUGCGUAGGUGGUUUCGUAAGUAAGGUGUGAAAGCCCUCGGCUUACCCGGGGAAUUGCGCCUUAUACUGCGAGACUUGAGGAUUUCAGGGGAAAGGGGAACUCCAGGUGUAGCGGUGAAAUGCGCAGAUAUCUGGGGGAAGGCCGGCGGCGAAGGCGCCUUUCUGGGAAAUUCCUGACACUGAGGCACGAAAGCGUGGGGAGCAAACAGG